UUGGGAAUCUUGCGCAAUGGACGAAAGUCUGACGCAGCAACGCCGCGUGCGGGAUGAAGGCCCUCGGGUUGUAAACCGCUUUCAGCAGGAACGAAAUUGACGGUACCUGCAGAAGAAGCCCCGGCCAACUACGUGCCAGCAGCCGCGGUAAUACGUAGGGGGCGAGCGUUGUCCGGAUUUAUUGGGCGUAAAGAGCUCGUAGGCGGUUUAGCAAGUCAACUGUGAAAACUUCAGGCUCAACCUGAAGCGGUCAGUUGAUACUGCUAUGACUUGAGUCUGUCAGGGGAUCACGGAAUUCCUAGUGUAGCGGUGAAAUGCGCAGAUAUUAGGAGGAACACCGGUGGCGAAGGCGGUGAUCUGGGACAGUACUGACGCUGAGGAGCGAAAGCGUGGGGAGCGAACAGG
rnacentral:rRNA from 1 species